GCCCCGGUAGCUCAGCCCGGUAGAGAGGAGUCCCCAAAAGCCGCAGGUCCCGGGUUCAAAUCCCGGCCGGGGCUCCA
rnacentral:tRNA from 1 species